UACGUAGGGGGCAAGCGUUGUCCGGAUUUAUUGGGCGUAAAGAGCGUGUAGGCGGCUUUACAGGUCCGUUGUGAAAACUCGAGGCUCAACCUCGAGACGCCGGUGGAAACCGUAAAGCUAGAGUCCGGAAGAGGAGAGUGGAAUUCCUGGUGUAGCGGUGAAAUGCGCAGAUAUCAGGAGGAACACCGGUGGCGAAGGCGGGAUCCUGGGCCAGUACUGACGCUGAGGAGCGAAAGCGUGGGGAGCAAACAGG
rnacentral:rRNA from 1 species